GGUUACAUUCCGAACCCGGAAGCUAAGCCUUACAGCGCCGAUGGUACUGCAGGGGGGACCCUGUGGGAGAGUAGGUCGCCGCCGAAC
rnacentral:rRNA from 1 species